AUUGAACGCUGGCGGCCGGCCUAACCCAUGCAAGUCGCACGAGUGGCGGACGGGUGAGUAAUGUCUGGGAAACUGCCUGAUGGAGGGGGAUAACUACUGGAAACGGUAGCUAAUACCGCAUACCAUCAGAUGUGCCCACAUGGGAUUCGCUAGUUGGUGGGGUAACGGCUCACCCAGGCGACGAUCCCUAGCUGGGCUGAGAGGAUGACCAGCCACACGGGAACUGGGACACGGUCCAGACUCCUACGGGAGGCAGCAGUGGGGAAUAUUGCACAAGUGGCGCAAGCCUGAUGCAGCCAUGCCGCGUGUAUGAAGAAGGCCUUCGGGUUGUAAAGUACUUUCAGCGGGGAGGCGUUACCCGCAGAAGAAGCACCGGCUAACUCCGGGCCAGCAGCCGCGGUAAUUC
rnacentral:rRNA from 1 species